AUACAGAGGGUGCAAGCGUUAAUCGGAUUUACUGGGCGUAAAGCGCGCGUAGGCGGCUAAUUAAGUCAAAUGUGAAAUCCCCGAGCUUAACUUGGGAAUUGCAUUCGAUACUGGUUAGCUAGAGUGUGGGAGAGGAUGGUAGAAUUCCAGGUGUAGCGGUGAAAUGCGUAGAGAUCUGGAGGAAUACCGAUGGCGAAGGCAGCCAUCUGGCCUAACACUGACGCUGAGGUACGAAAGCGUGGGGAGCAAACAGGAGUAGAUACCCCAGUAGUCC
rnacentral:rRNA from 1 species